UGUUAACAAUAUCCAGAAUGUGGAGGGAAAUCAGACUUUUAGCUGCAUCGAAACCUGUCAUCGCAUCCAUGUCCGAUGUGGCAGCUAGUGGGGGAUAUUAUAUGGCUAUGGCAGCUGAAACAAUCGUUAUUGAAAAUUUGACUUUAACUGGUUCAAUUGGAGUUGUCACAGGGAAGUUUAACUUGGGGAAACUAUAUGAAAAAAUUGGCUUCAAUAAAGAGGUCAUAUCAAGGGGAAGAUAUGCUGAACUUCUUGCAGCCGAGCAGCGGCCUUUUAGACCGGAUGAAGCUGAGCUAUUUGCAAACUCUGCAGUCUGCACAGAAUGCUUAUAAACAGUUUCGAGACAAGGCUGCUUCUUCGAGAUCAAUGACUGUAGAAAAGAUGGAAGAGGUCGCACAGGGCAGAGUAUGGGCAGGUAUUGAUGCUAUUGGGGGACUUUCUCGGGCCAUCGCCAUUGCAAAACAUAAAAUCAAUAUACCCCAAGAUAAGCCGGUUAGUUCUUUUCUUUUUGUUUUAAGACAAACUUAUUGCGACACUGAGCCUCGUGCUGCCGAAAUUCCAGGUACAGUUUCCUGCUUGCUGUUUUCACAUACUUUUUUCCUCCUUUUUUGAAAAAGGGAAUUGCGAAUUGGAAUCAACAAUGACUAGAGCUGUUUAUUUUUAUUUAUGCAAAUAAUCAAUUUAACUUCCUUAAACUUAUGAAGUUUCGAUUCAUUUGUAGGGUAGUUGAUUAAACAGGUUGAAUUCAGUUAGAAGAUCAUUAUAUCAGUUUCACCAUUCAUUCGGAUGUAAAUUAUUCUGAUAUCCUUUGCACAUAUUCAAUGCUUAAUUUGAAAAAUGGAUUCAUGGUUCACACUUGUAGUCAUUGCCGUUGUGGUGCUUUUGAUCUGCAAAUUUUAGAUCUCUACAACAUUCUAAGGUUAGUGGUAGUAGUCAGUAAUUUGGAUUUGCAAAUUUUAUAAUAUAAUAUCGUUUUAUUGUUGAGUUGGGUUGCUUGAUUUCUUAAUUGCAGCUUCCAUUGUUUAAUGUUACUGUAUAUAUAAAUGUAAGUUGCAUUUCCUUCUGAUUUCUGAGUGGAAUGAAGAGGCUUGACCCUAAGUUACAUUAUCUGGGCAUUUGUAUUUGGGUACCUCAAAUAGGUCCUUUUUGUACAAUUGGUUCUUCAACAAAGCUUGGGAAUAGAUGUCGAUUGCAUCCUUCGAACCAAUAUUUUCAAAAAUACAGAAUUGGGGAACAACUGUAUUUUUAGGACUGGUGCAGUGGUCGGUGGUGAUAUUCCCGGGCGUACUGUAAUUGGAUGCAAUAACGUCGUCGGGCAUCAUGCUGUGGUUGGUAUCAAAUGCCAAGACAUGAAAUACAAGGUAACUUGUCUUAUUCGGCUUUUCAUCAGUUAGAAGCAUCCUGGAGCUCUAAAAUCUGUCUUACCAAUCUCAAAGACUUUUUCUUCUCUCCUAACUUUAAUUCUGUGUACCUACCUUUGGUACUCCUGAAUUUUACUGAGAUGCUGAAGAAAUAAAUGUUAUCUUCUGCAUACAUGUCUUUCCUUAAGUACUUUAUCGUGCUUCU